GUGGGGAAUAUUCCGCAAUGGACGAAAGUCUGACGGAGCAACGCCGCGUGAGUGAUGAAGGUUUUCGGACUGUAAAGCUCUGUUGUUUAGGACGAAAGUGCCUGUUGCAAAUAGUUACAGGUAUUGACGGUACUGAACGAGGAAGCCACGGCUAACUACGUGCCAGCAGCCGCGGUAAUACGUAGGUGGCAAGCGUUGUCCGGAAUCAUUGGGCGUAAAGAGCGCGUAGGUGGCUUGUCAGGUCUGAUGUGAAAUCCUGGGGCUCAACCCCAGGCCUGCAUCAGAAACCGGCUUGCUAGAGUCUGGGAGAGGAGAGUGGAAUUCCUGGUGUAGCGGUGAAAUGCGUAGAUAUCAGGAGGAACACCGGUAGCGAAGGCGGCUCUCUGGAACAGUACUGACGCUGAGGCGCGAAAGCUAGGGGAGCGAACAGGAUUAGAAACCCCUGUAGUCC
rnacentral:rRNA from 1 species